rnacentral:rRNA from 1 species
GAUGAACGCUGGCGGCGUGCCUAAUACAUGCAAGUCGAGCGAACAGACGAGGAGCUUGCUCCUCUGACGUUAGCGGCGGACGGGUGAGUAACACGUGGAUAACCUACCUAUAAGACUGGGAUAACUUCGGGAAACCGGAGCUAAUACCGGAUAAUAUAUUGAACCGCAUGGUUCAAUAGUGAAAGACGGUUUUGCUGUCACUUAUAGAUGGAUCCGCGCCGCAUUAGCUAGUUGGUAAGGUAACGGCUUACCAAGGCAACGAUGCGUAGCCGACCUGAGAGGGUGAUCGGCCACACUGGAACUAGGACACGGUCCAAACUCCUACGGGAGGCAGCAGUAGGGAAUCUUCCGCAAUGGGCGAAAGCUUGACGGAGCAACGCCGCGUGAGUGAUGAAGGUCUUCGGAUCGUAAAACUCUGUUAUUAGGGAAGAACAAAUGUGUAAGUAACUAUGCACGUCUUGACGGUACCUAAUCAGAAAGCCACGGCUAACUACGUG